UAGUAGCGGCGAGCGAGCGGGAAGAGCUCAAAUUUAUAAUCUGGCACCUUCGGUGUCCGAGUUGUAAUCUCUAGAAAUGUUUUCCGCGUUGGACCGCACACAAGUCUGUUGGAAUACAGCGGCAUAGUGGUGAGACCCCCGUAUAUGGUGCGGACGCCCAGCGCUUUGUGAUACAUUUUCGAAGAGUCGAGUUGUUUGGGAAUGCAGCUCAAAUUGGGUGGUAAAUUCCAUCUAAAGCUAAAUAUUGGCGAGAGACCGAUAGCGAACAAGUACCGUGAGGGAAAGAUGAAAAGCACUUUGGAAAGAGAGUUAACAGUACGUGAAAUUGUUGGAAGGGAAACGCUUGAAGUCAGACUUGCUUGCCGAGCAAUCGGUUUGCAGGCCAGCAUCAGUUUUCCGGGAUGGAUAAUGGUAGAGAGAAGGUAGCAGUUUCGGCUGUGUUAUAGCUCUCUGCUGGAUACAUCUUGGGGGACUGAGGAACGCAGUGUGCCUUUUGGCGGGGGUUUCGACCUCUUCACACUUAGGAUGCUGGUGGAAUGGCUUUAAACGACCCGCUA
rnacentral:rRNA from 1 species